ACGCGCAUGACAGUUAAUUUGUUUAGGGUUAAUUUAUGUGUAACAAGGGUUAGUACAAUUUCAAAUUUUCCAAUUGUACUAUUAGUUUUUGAAAAAAAUAAGAUCACACAUUUUUUCCAAAGAAAAAGGCGAGGUUGGCUGCACAGCGCUGAAACAUAUUAUCCACAAUGCUUUGUGCGGUAUGAGCGGGAAUAGGCGCCAUUUAUCUGCAGCCAGAUCACAGAUCAGCCAGUUUGACGUGCAGAGGAGAGUGCAGUGUGUCAGAUAUUUGGGUUGGCUGCUUCGUGUCAGGUUGGCAUGCUUUCUGUAAUUUGGGAUGGAAACCUCAAAGCUACUACCUGGAGGUUGAUGAGCUCCACAAUAUCCAAUGAUUGAGCUGUACAGUUCAACUGGGUUGGGCGAGGUAUCAAAAGAGCUUUCAAGGAUCUUCUUCUGAAGAACAUAACUUUCAGAGCUGUAAGGGCUAAUGUUUUUACAAAGAGUGCCACGGAGGAGCCUUUCAGCCUUGGCAAUGAACUGGCUACGAUAUGCCAAAGACCGCAGUGGAGGCCGGAGGCAGAGGUCAGAGGCUGCUGCAGCAUCUCAAGAGAUGGGAGGUGUUUGUUUUUUUUGUAAGCUUUUCUAAUAAAACAUUUGAUCGCAAAAAACAAUAUGGAAACUUAAAUUUAAAAAGUGCGAUUACAAGACUUGUGUUUUUUUUUUUACUUUAAUGCAAAAUAGAUCAAAUCAAAUAAGUCAAGCAGUUUGUAAAAAAUAAUUCUGUUAACAUUUAAAAUAAUUUCAAAAUAUUUACUUGUUUGUGAUGGUAAUCUGAGAGUAACAAAUGUUUAAGACCUAAUUAGCUAAUAAUCUCCAUUAAACUACUAAUGUUUAAUGACAUAGGUCCAACGUACUGUCUGACAAUUAGCCAACAUGGGGCCAAUGAUGGUAUUUAACAUUGGGCCAAUUUUGUUGGGCUAGUGUAGGGCCGAUGAGCAAAACAAUGUUGGGCCAAUUUUGGGCGCUGACAUAGGGCCAAUGUACUGUCUGACAAUUAUCCAACAUAGGGCCAAUGUUGGCAUAUUUACUGGGAAGUUUGCCAAAUCCUUUUUUAUUCAUUUUUUUUGCUUGUGAGUGAAUUUUCUUUGAUACGUUGUUGUUAAUCCCUGCAGUAUCAAGCAUAUGCAACAUUCUAAAUGAACCCAUAUUUAUUUAUUUAUUUAUUUAGCAGACUCCUUUAUCCAAGGCAACUUACAGAGACUAGGGUGUGAACUAUGCAUCAGCUGCAGAGUCACAGCUACGUCUCACCCGAAAGACAGAGCACAAGGAGGGUAAGUGACUUGCUCAGGGUCACACAAUGAGUCAGUGGCUGAGGUGGGAUUUGAACCGGGGACCGCCUGGUUACAAGCCCUUUUCUUUAACCACUAGACCACACAGCCUCCACCUAUAUUAAUACUGGAUCUCAUUUUGGAAUCUAACAUGCAGUCAUUCAAAUCCAAUGGCAGAAUAAAUUGUGACCUCUAAUGAACUGAAUCACCUCACUUCCUACAUUUUUGAUGUGCUUAUGAUAAAAGCCUGUUUUUAAAGGGUUAAAAAUACUUGCUUUAAUAAGGAUACAUCUUCUGAGAUGAAGGAUUUUUUUUAAUGUAUGCCACAAAGAAAAACACCUGCUUAAUUUGUUUGUAUUUUAUAUUAAGAAUAUCUGUAAUUAUUUUUAGAGUUAAUACUAAGGAGAUUAGUUUUGAAAAACAGGUUAAAUAGAAAUCAGGAGAUUCAGUGGUUAACUAUGGGGGAGUUUCCCAUGUGGGUUCUAAUUUUACUCUUGAGCUUGAGCCAAAUGAAAAAUGGCCCUAAACAUUUUGUGUUUCCAUUGCCUCGGUUUAUUAUACUCGAGAUGACCCUCUUUUCACCUGACAUCAUACAAAUGAAGGAGAAAGGAGGAGGUCGAUAUGCAAAUUAGUCAUGCGUAGAUUUCUCGUGCUGUUUUCGCAGACAGCUCGGUAAAAUGUGUUUUCCAUGCACAGAGAACAGAUACAUGAGAGAAUCUCACCUGGAAAUCCAUAGUUGUCAGGUGA